AUGGCAGAGUCACUGCUUCUCCCUCUAGUGCGUGGCGUGGCUGGCAAGGCCGCAGACGCACUAGUCGAGACGGCGACCCGCAUGUGUGGCCUCGACGACGACCGCCAAAUACUCGAGCGGCAUCUACUAGCCGUCGAGAGCAAGCUGGCCAACGCUGAGGAGAUGAGCGAGAAAAAUCCCUAUGUCAAGAGCUGGAUGAAGGAGCUCAAGUCUGUCGCCUACCAGGCCGACGACGUACUUGACGACUUCCAGUACGAGGUGCUGCGCCGCCAGUCUAAGAUUGGCAAGUCCACUACCCGAAAGGCACUCAGCUACAUCACGCGCCACAGCCCGCUGCUCUUCCGCUUUGAAAUGAGCAGGAAACUCAAGGACGUCCUCAAGAAGAUCAAUAAGUUGGUUACGGAGAUGAACACGUUUCGCUUGGAGAGUUCUGCCCGUACGGAGGAGAGGCAACAUCCUUGGAGGCAGACACACUCAAAACUGGACGAUACUACCCAGAUCUUUGGAAGAGAUGAUGAUAAGGAGGUGGUGGUGAAGUUACUACUGGACCAGCAGGAUCAUCGGAGAGUGCAGGUGCUGCCCAUCAUUGGGAUGGGUGGUCUUGGAAAGACGACUCUUGCUAAGAUGGUCUAUAAUGACCAAGGGGUCAAGCAACAUUUCGAGUUGAAGAUGUGGCACUGUGUGUCCAACAACUUGGAUUUGAUUGCUCUUUUGAAAUCCAUCAUUGAGUUGGCUGUAAGUGGAAGAUGUGACAUGCCUGACACGAUUGAGCUGUUGCAAAAGAAACUUGAGCAAGUCAUUGACCAAAAAAGAUUUAUACUCGUGCUUGAUGAUGUGUGGAAUGAAGAUGAGAGGAAGUGGGAGGAUGUCCUCAGGCCUCUUUUGUGUACUGUUGGUGGACCAGGAAGCGUAAUUGUUGUCACAACUCGAAGCCAGAAAGUAGCCUCUAUAAUGCAGACCCUUGGAAUCCAUAAGCUAGCAUGUCUGAGUGAACAAGAUUCAUGGAAAUUGUUUGCACAGAAAGCAUAUGGCAACGUUGUAGAGCAGGAGCAAGCAGAGUUGGUCAGCAUUGGCAAAUGUAUUGUCAACAAAUGCAGGGGGCUGCCUCUUGCUCUCAAGACAAUGGGUGGAUUGCUGAGUUCAAAGGAAAAGGUACAGGAAUGGAAGGCCAUCGAAGAAAGUAACAUUAGGGAUAAUGAUGGAGGCAAAUAUGAGGUCAUGCCCAUACUCAAGUUAAGCUACAAACACUUGUCCUCUGAAAUGAAGCAAUGUUUUGCAUUCUGUGCAGUUUUUCCCAAGGAUUAUGUGAUGGAGAAGGAUAGAUUGAUCCAAUUAUGGAUGUCAAAUGGCUUUAUUCAAGAAGAGGGAACAAUGGAUUUAAUACAGAAAGGAGAAAUCAUUUUCGAUGAGUUGGUUUGGAGGUCCUUCCUCCAAGAUCGGAAAGUGGCAUUCAUACCUGCUGUCAAUGGUGCUAAAAUGGGCUAUGAUGAGAUUAUAUUAUGUAAAAUGCAUGACUUAAUGCAUGAUCUAGCAAAAGAUGUCACAGAUGAAUGUGCAAGUAUAGAAGAAAUGACUCAACAGAAAGCAAUGUUAAAAGAUGUUUGUCACCUGAAAGUAUCAAAUGAAUUGGAAAAUAUCAGUGGGUUAUGCAAAAGCAUAACAUACCUCCGCACAUUAUUAGCUCCUUCAGUAUCACACAAGAAUGUUAAAGAGUUGCUACGGGUAUCAACAUCACUAAGAGCAUUGCAUUGGUCCGCCUCUUCAACUGUCAUUUGCAAGGCCAUAAAUUCUAAACAUUUACGGUAUCUUGACAUCUCUGGGUCUAGCAUCAUAAGGCUGCCAGAUGCAAUAUGCGUGUUGUAUAACUUGCAAACACUGAGGCUCAUAGAUUGCCAGGAGCUGCAGCAGUUACCAGAAGACAUGGCAAUACUGAGAAAACUCAUGCAUCUUUAUCUUUCUGGUUGUCAUAGUCUCAAAAGUAUGUCUCCAAACUUUGGUCUAUUGAACAAUCUUCACAUAUUAACAUCAUUUGUUGUGGAUACUAAAGAUGGCCUUGGAAUAGAGCAACUCAAAAACAUGCAACACCUUAGCAAUAGAUUGGAACUGUUAAAUCUAAGCAAGAUAAAGAGUGGGGAGAAUGCAAAGGAAGCCCAUCUCAGUCAGAAGCAAAACCUAAUUGAGUUGUUGUUCUCUUGGGACCAAGAAAUAGAUGAUGGGCAUAAGGAUAUGGUCUGUAAUGUAGAAGAAGUACUUCAGUGUUUAGAACCUCAUAGUAAUCUCCAAAAGUUGCUGAUAAAUGGAUAUGGUGGCCUGGAAAUAUCACAGUGGAUGAGAAAGCCUCAGAUGUUUAACUGCUUGAGAGAACUCAGAAUGUCCGACUGCCCAAGAUGCAAGAGUAUACCUGCUGUAUGGUUCUCGGUCUCUCUGGAGACUUUGUCCUUAUAUAACAUGGAUAACCUGACAACAUUAUGUAAUAACCUUGAUGUGGAAUGCGGAGGAUGCAUUACCCCUCUGGAGAUUUUCCCAAGGUUGAAGAAGAUGAGGUUGAUUGAGUUACCAAGCCUGGAGAUGUGGGCAGAAAAUAGUGCGGGAGAGCCUAGUCAUAACCUGGUAACAUUCCCGGUGCUUGAAGAGCUAAGAAUCGAAAAUUGCCCCAAGCUUGCUAGUAUUCCAGUGGCCCCCAUUGUCAGCGAGCUGACAAUAGAUGGAAUUCACAGUACUGCAGUCGGUCCAGUUUUUAUGAACAUCCUUUUGGGCUCUUGGCCACUUCUCGUCAGCUUAACUCUUCGAUCUAAGGAAGACAUAUCCAUAUUAACUCUAGAAGCCCAGCAAAACCGAAGUCAAAUGCCUCUUGAAAAACUUACGAGUUUGACUCUGGAAGGGCCCAACAGCUUGAUCAGAAGCUCCGGAUUGUCCAGCUCACAACUUAUGGUUUGGAAAUGCUUUCCGUUCGUGAGAACUUUGACGAUUAGCAAAUGCAGCAAUCUUGUCCGCUGGCCAACAAAGGAGCUCGGGUGCUUGGAUGGCCUCCGCUAUCUAUGUAUCCAAAAUUGUGAAAACCUGGGGGGGAACACUUCAUCGCCUGAGGAGGAAACCCUUCCACUGUACCUGGAGGUAUUAAAGAUUUCAGAGUGCCGCAGCGUGGUGGCACUGCCUUCGAACCUUGGAAAUCUGGCCAAGCUUAGUAGUCUCUUUGUGCGUUGCUGCAGCGGCCUGAAAGCGCUGCCUGAUGGGAUGUGUGGCCUCACUUGUCUCAGGUCAUUGACGAUUUGGGCUUGUCCAGCUCUGGAGGAGUUCCCGCAUGGUCUCCAGCAGCGUUUGCCAGCCCUCGAACUCCUGAAGAUAGUUGGCUGCCUAGAGUUGGAAAGACGAUGCAGAGAAGUUGAGAUUGACGGAUGGAGCAAUCUUGUCCUCUGGCCAACAGAGGAGCUCCAGUGCUUGGAUCGCCUCCGCUCUAUGCGUAUCACAAACUGUGACAACCUGGAGGGCAACACUUCAUCGUUUGAGGAGGAAACCCUUCCUCUGUCCCUGGAGGACUUGACUAUUUCAUUCUGCCGCAGUGUGGUUACACUGCCUUCGUACCUUGGAAAUUUUGCCAAGCUGAGGAGUCUAUAUGUGUCUCACUGCAGCAGCCUGAAAGUGCUGCCUGAUGCGAUGUGUGGCCUCACUUUCCUUAGCGACUUGAGGUUUUAUUUUUGUCCAGCUAUGGAGGAAUUCCCGCAUGGUCUCCUGGAGCGGUUGCCAGCCCUCAAACUCUUAAGGAUAAGGGGAUGCCCGGAGCUGAUAAGGCGAUGCACAGAAGGUGGGGACUAUUUUCACUUGGUCUCCUCUGUCCCAGAUAAACUCAUUUAUUGA
rnacentral:rRNA from 1 species